CCAGAGCUAGAAGUACAAAAAUAGGUAAGAAAGGCUCACAUCACUAUAUAAAUUGUUUUACGAUAAACUCUCACAUCUCACAUAGAUGGCAGCUCAAAUGAUUUAUUUUGUCCACAAAUUUUUAUCAACAAUUUCAUUAACAUUAAAAAAAUAUAUGAAAAAGAGAUUAUUUGUAUUUAUUAUCUGUAUUUAUAUUAACCAAAUUGGAUUAAUAGUUUCGAUGUAAUGUCACUUUGUAAACAGUUCUUUACCAUACAGACUUUUUUUUGUAUAUACGACGCUGGCGCCGCCACUUGGCAAAUUAUUAUAUUUACAAGUAAUAACGCGCUUAAAUGACGCGCGGUACGUGUGACAACUGACAAUAGAUAACGAAAUGAUGCAAGUUUCAUAAAAUUGCAUUAAUGUUUUUUCGUAUCGCUUUUAAUUUUUCCGAAAUAUUUCUUACUGCAAAGUUACUCACUAAUGAAAUGAAACAAUGUGUACUCGAGUAAUAAUAUUAUAUAAAUAUCGUAUUGUCUUGUACAUAAUACAAUUGUAAUACUUCAAAUAUACAAUGAAGUUAUUAAUUUUUAUUCCGCAAACUUUUAACAGCGAAAAAUCUGGCUAUGUGUUUGGUAAAGUUAUAUAUGACAGGCAUAGGGAUAUCAAGAAAUAUUAUAUUAUUGCUAUUUGCGAAAAAGAUGUCAUUGAAAUAAACAAAUCUAUUAACCUCAUUGGUUAUUACCACAAUACAAAUGAUAUUAUCGAAAAUGUAGAUAAAAAGUGUAUAGAUUGGAUAAAUAUUUAUCUCGUUGCAGUUAACUCAUCGUCUAAUAGCAAUUACUAUUACUGCAUAGAAAAUAUAAUAAGUAAUAAUAAAAAAAUUAGUCUAUCAUCUAAUUCUAUGGUGAUAAUAAUUUAUGAUUUGUUAGCUUUGCAAGAGACUGAACUAUUUGCUUGUAGAACAACUUCAAACGAUCACUUUUAUGAACUGAUGAGAAUAUUACAAACGGAGGAAGUUAAACAUAGUAUCAAAGUAAAAUCUAAAUUAGAUUCCAUUAAAGAAACUGUCAUUCAUUAUUAUACACUUUUCUGUUUGAUUCCGAUUAUUUUUUUCCUAAACAUGACUAACAAAUUACUACCAGUAUUAAAAUAUUCAUCAUUGGGAAUACAUUUAAAUGGAUGGUUGGAAAACGUUAAAUGGAUUUUCAUAAAUAUAAUGCAAAAGAAAAGAAUUUCCUUGAAAACGGGAAAUUAUAUCGUAGCAACAAUUAUAGAUAUUUUAUUGGGCGUAAUAGUCUUAAAACUGUUGUUAUGUUACUUUAAGGACGUAUCACCAUCUCAAGAAUUGUUAAAGAAUGCAGAGAAAGUAGUGGAAUCGUUGAAAAAUUUGAUUCAAUGGCUAAUGGGUGCUCCAGCUGGCUUAAAAUUAAAUUAUGCAUUUAAUAAUAUGCUUGGAAAAUUUUUCCUCUAUCAUAUACACCUAUGGUGGACAUUUCUAAUAUUUAUGACACCUGUCAUGGAUUUUGCAUUUGAAGUAUUAUUAUUGUUUGGAAGGCUCGGUGUUACUUUUCAAAUAUCGAUAGCAUCCGAUCUUUUAGCGCUUAUUAGUUUCCAUACGUAUUGCAUUUAUGUUUAUGCAGCAAGGCUCUUUAAUAUUCAAUUAAAUGCGCUCACAUCUCUAUUUAGACUGUUUUUGGGCAAAAAGAAAAAUCCCUUACGAGAAAGAGUGGAUUCUUGUCAAUAUAAACCAGAUCAACUAUUCGUUGGGACUUUAUUAUUCACUAUUCUUCUAUUUCUUAUACCAACAACAUGGGUGUAUUACACGGUUUUUACUACGCGGACUUUUAGCUAAAUUAAGACUUUAUAUACAAGUUAUGCCUGUCUAUGCAUAUAUUCAAUGGUUAUUCAAUUCUUACUGUACACGUAGUAGCAUUUAUAUGAAAUUACAUUCGCAACAGUCAGAGAGCGAUAUGACGAUAACUUUAUGGAUGACAAUGGUCACAUCUUCGUGGGG
rnacentral:misc_RNA from 1 species